rnacentral:rRNA from 1 species
UACGUAGGGUGCGAGCGUUAAUCGGAAUUACUGGGCGUAAAGCGUGCGCAGGCGGUUCGUUGUGUCGGCGGGGAAAGCCCCGGGCUCAACCUGGGAAUGGCAAUGGAUACUGGCGAGCUAGAGUGUGUCAGAGGAUGGUGGAAUUCCCGGUGUAGCGGUGAAAUGCGUAGAGAUCGGGAGGAACAUCAGUGGCGAAGGCGGCCAUCUGGGACAACACUGACGCUGAGGCACGAAAGCGUGGGGAGCAAACAGG